rnacentral:lncRNA from 1 species
AGAAGAUUAUUUAAUAUGUAAAUAUUAAAGUUUAUUUUGGGAAAUAGAAAAACUGAAUCGGGUUAGAUCACAUUACAGAGUAUGGGGCCAAAAAGACCUUAGAAGUACUUGUAAUUGGACCUGAUGUAAGAGAAGCCCAAAACCCCUCAUAAAACAUGAAGAGUGUAACACCUUUUACCCGAGUUUAAUGCCGGAAUAGGGUACGAGGUGUUACCGGACUUAAACACAUACAAACAUACAUUUCCUAGAUAUGAAACUUCGCUCC